GAUGAACGCUGGCGGCGUGCCUAAUACAUGCAAGUCGAACGAACAGACGAUGAGCUUGCUCCUCUGACGUUAGCGGCGGACGGGUGAGUAACACGUGGAUAACCUACUUAUAAUACUUGGAUGACUUCGGGAAACCGGAUCUAAUACUGCAUAAUAUAUUGAACGGCAUGGUUCAAUAGUUCAUGACGGUUUUGCUGUCACUUAUAGAUGGAGCCGCGCUGCAUUAGCUAGUUGGUAAGGUACCGGCUUACCAAGGCGACGUUGCGUAGCCGACCUGAGAGGGUGAUCAGCCACACUGGAACUGAGACACGGUCCAGACUCCUACGGGAGGCAGCAGUGGGGAAUCUUGCACAAUGGGCGAAAGCUUGACCGAGCAACGCCGCGUGAGUGAAGAAGGUCUUCGGAUCGUAAAGCCCUGUUAUUAGGGAAGAACAACUGUAUAUGAAAAUAUGGCCGUUUUGACGGUACCUAAUGAGAAAGCAACGGCUAACUACGUG
rnacentral:rRNA from 1 species